UACGGAGGGGGUUAGCGUUGUUCGGAAUUACUGGGCGUAAAGCGCACGUAGGGGGACUAUUAAGUCAGAGGUGAAAUCCCGGGGCUCAACCCCGGAACUGCCUUUGAUACUGGUAGUCUUGAGUUCGAGAGAGGUGAGUGGAAUUCCGAGUGUAGAGGUGAAAUUCGUAGAUAUUCGGAGGAACACCAGUGGCGAAGGCGGCUCACUGGCUCGAUACUGACGCUGAGGUGCGAAAGUGUGGGGAGCAAACAGGAUUAGAUACCCGGCGUC
rnacentral:rRNA from 1 species